GAUGAACGCUGGCGGCGUGCCUAAUACAUGCGAGUCGAGCGAACGGACGAGAAGCUUGCUUCUCUGAUGUUAGCGGCGGACGGGUGAGUAACACGUGGAUAACCUACCUAUAAGACUGGGAUAACUUCGGGAAACCGGAGCUAAUACCGGAUAAUAUUUUGAACCGCAUGGUUCAAAAGUGAAAGACGGUCUUGCUGUCACUUCUAGAUGGAUCCGCGCUGCAUUAGCUAGUUGGUAAGGUAACGGCUUACCAAGGCAACGAUGCAUAGCCGACCUGUGAGGGUGAUCGGCCACCCUGGAACUGGGCCACGGUCCAGACUCCUACGGGACGCAGCAGUAGGGAAUCUUCCGCAAUGGGCGAAAGCCUGACGGAGCAACGCCGCGUGAGUGAUGAAGGUCUUCGGAUCGUAAAACUCUGUUAUUAGGGAAGAACAUAUGUGUAAGUAACUGUGCACAUCUUGACGGUACCUAAUCAGAAAGCCACGGCUAACUACGUG
rnacentral:rRNA from 1 species